rnacentral:ncRNA from 1 species
GCCCCUUUGGGGCAUGAAAAGGGAACGCGGUGCAAAUCCGCGGCAGUCCCCGCUACUGUAAGAAGGACGAAAGCCCGCAGCCGCCUUUGGCGGCGGUCACUGAGCAAUUGGGAAGACGCGGCGAGUAGGAGGAAUUCGAGCCAGGAGACCUGCCUGUUUUGU